UACAGAGGUCUCAAGCGUUGUUCGGAUUCAUUGGGCGUAAAGGGUGCGUAGGUGGCGCCGUAAGUCAGGUGUGAAAUCUCGGAGCUCAACUCCGAAACUGCACUUGAUACUGCGGUGCUCGAGUACUGGAGAGGAGAUUGGAAUUUACGGUGUAGCAGUGAAAUGCGUAGAUAUUGUAAGGAAGACCAGUGGCGAAGGCGAAUCUCUGGACAGUUACUGACACUGAGGCACGAAGGCCAGGGGAGCAAACGGG
rnacentral:rRNA from 1 species